CAAUGAUUUUAUAAUUUUAAAAUAUCUAAUUAAUUAGAAACGUUACCUAUUUUUUUACACUACAACCACUAAAAAACUUUUAUAUAUGGCGAAUGUUUAUAGGUAAUUAAAAUCAAAUAAAUGUUGUGAGAAAAUGUUGUAAAUUUGCGAAUUCGUCUCAACCGGAAAUGGCGAAGCGGAAAUGGUUAUUUGUUAGUCAGGGUAUUCGUUCGCUCAAGACAAGCCGUGGAAGAAGCUUUGUUUAAAAGAUAUGAAAUCCUAACUACAACUCAAUUAUAAUAUGGGUAAGCGUGUGUUUAUUUGUUUUGUAGAAGAAGUAUUGUGCUUUAAGUAAUCGUUGUUCAUUUUGUGAAAUAUCUUUGCAAUAAAAACAUUAAGUUGAACUUGAUGGAAUGUAGUUAAUUCCAUGUGGUUUUAUGAUUAUUAUUUUGUACUAUUCGCAUUUAAAAUAACAUUUUACGCUAUUUUCUUGUAUAAACGUAAUUCCUACCAAUAACUGAAUAAUAUUUUUCUAUCUAUAUGCUGCUGUUCUCGUUUGCUUGCCUCUGAUGUCUCAACAACAGCGGUGAGGCUUAUAUUUUUAUCCUACAUUAUUGUAAAUUUAAUACUAAUUAUAAAACUACAACGCAUUAAUUUGCUCUGUUAGAAAGUUCUAAACAACAGAUACUCUCUCUGCUAACUUUAGGAAGUGAAGAAACUCGACGGUUAUGUAGGAUUUGCGAAUCUUCCUAACCAAAUAUUUCGUAAAAGUGUCAAGAAAGGUUUCGAAUUUACACUUAUGGUCGUUGGUAAGUACAUGGGUAGGGUUGCUUUUAGUAAAAGGCUCGAAUAAGCAUUCGCUCGUAUCGAAAAGGAAACAUAUUUCGCUAUGCUUGUCACUCUACUCAAAUUAAGUAUG